rnacentral:lncRNA from 1 species
AAUGUAACGCAUAGCAGGAAACGUUUCCGACCCCCUAAAGUUAUAUAUACAUAUAUCAUUGAUCAGCGUCAAUAGCCGAGUCUAUUUAUGUCUGCCUGACUGUUUGUUACCCAAAUUUGUGUGAUGACUCAUGUGAUAGUACACCGUUCCAAGUGUAUUUAAAAAAUUAGCCCUGCCCCCUCAAAGGUAAAAAAUCUGCGGUAUCCACAAUUUUAAAGAUUAGAGAAGUCCAAAAACGCGAUUCCAGAGGGAAUGACCAUGUCAUUCAGAUCACCGAAUUUGGAUUAGAUUGGAUAAUUAUUUUUGCCAUUAUGAAUAAAUUAAUGGCUGGUGGAAAAACGCAGUAGGUUGG